UGAGUACGAGAUGCUACGGCAUCGAAGCAGUCUAUGUCAUACUUCCAAGAAAAGCUUGCACUGUCAGAAACAGAUAAUGCCUGUACCAUAACCGACACAGGUGGGUAGGUAGAGUAUACUAAGGGGCGCGAGAUAACUCUCUCUAAGGAACUCGGCAAAAUGACUCCGUAACUUCGGGAGAAGGAGUGCCUUAUUUUUAAGGUUGCAAUAACAAGAUCCAAGCAACUGUUUACCAAAAACACAGGUCUCCGCUAAGUCGUAAGACGAUGUAUGGGGGCUGACGCCUGCCCAGUGCCAGAAGGUUAAAGAAGUCGGUUAGCAUUCGCGAAGCUGGUAACUGAAGCCCUGGUGAACGGCGGCCGUAACUAUAACGGUCCUAAGGUAGCGAAAUUCCUUGUCGGGUAAGUUCCGACCCGCACGAAAGGCGUAAUGAUUUGGAUACUGUCUCGGAGAGGGGCUCGGUGAAAUAGACUUGUCUGUGAAGAUGCGGACUACCUGCACCUGGACAGAAAGACCCUAUGAAGCUUUACUGUAACUUGAAAUUGAAAUUGGACUUUAUUUGCGCAGUAUAGGUGGGAGGCGUUGAAAAUAUUCUUGCGGGAAUAUUGGAGCCAUCAGUGAGAUACCACUCUUGUAAUGUUAGAUUUCUAACUUUAUAUCAUUAUCUGGUUAAAGAACAGUUUCAGGCGGGCAGUUUGACUGGGGCGGUCGCCUCCCAAAUGGUAACGGAGGCGCACAAAGGUUUCCUCUGAACGGGUAGAAAUCGUAUCUAGAGUGUAAAGGCAUAAGGAAGCUUGACUGUGAGACCUACAAGUCGAGCAGGGACGAAAGUCGGUCUUAGUGAUCUGACGGUGCUGAGUGGAAAGGCCGUCACUCAACGGAUAAAAGUUACUCUAGGAUAACAGGCUGAUCUCCCCCAAGAGUUCACAUCGACGGGGAGGUUUGGCACCUCGAUGUCGGCUCAUCGCAUCCUGGGGCGGUAGUACGUCCCAAGGGUUGGGCUGUUCGCCCAUGAAAGCGGUACGCGAGCUGGGUUCAGAACGUCGUGAGACAGUUCGGUCCAUAUCCGGUGUAGGCGUUAGAAUAUUGAGAGGAGCCUUCUUUAGUACGAGAGGACCGAGAAGGACAUACCUCUGGUGUACCAGUUAUCGUGCCAACGGUAAACGCUGGGUAGCUAUGUAUGGAGUGGAUAACCGCUGAAAGCAUCUAAGUGGGAAGCCCACCUCAAGAUAAG
rnacentral:rRNA from 1 species